CCCUUAGAUGUCCUGGGCCGCACGCGCGCUACACUGAUGCAUUCAACGAGUGACCUUAGCCGAGAGGCCUGGGCAAUCUUUUGAACGUGCAUCGUGAUAGGGAUAGAUUAUUGAAAUUAUUAAUCUUGAACGAGGAAUUCCUAGUAAACGCAGAUCAUCAAUCUGCAUUGAUUACGUCCCUGCCCUUUGUACACACCGCCCGUCGCACCUACCGAUUGGAUGGUCCGGUGAAGCCUCGGGAUUGUGGUUCUUGCCGCUUUAUUGUGGCGUGACCGCGAGAACUUGUCUAAACCUUAUCAUCUAGAGGAAGGUGAAGUCGUAACA
rnacentral:rRNA from 1 species